GAUAAGCAUAAAGGGGAGUAGCUUUUACAGCAAAGUCGUCAUUUCGAGGUCUCGGCCUCCGGCUUUGUUGGCAGCAGUGAUGUUGUUAGCAAGACCUUUACCUGUCAA
rnacentral:misc_RNA from 1 species